rnacentral:rRNA from 1 species
UACAGAGGUCUCAAGCGUUGUUCGGAUUCAUUGGGCGUAAAGGGUGUGUAGGUGGCUCCGUAAGUCGGGUGUGAAAUUUCGGAGCUUAACUCCGAAACUGCAUUCGAUACUGCGGUGCUUGAGGACUGGAGAGGAGACUGGAAUUCAUGGUGUAGCAGUGAAAUGCGUAGAGAUCAUGAGGAAGACCAGUGGCGAAGGCGGGUCUCUGGACAGUUCCUGACGCUGAGGCACGAAGGUCAGGGGAGCAAACGGG